rnacentral:rRNA from 1 species
CAAUCUGCCCUCCGAUGGGGAAUAACCCCGCGAAAGCGGGGCUAAUUCCGCAUAAAAUUCCCUGGACCUCGGUCUGGGGAUUCAAAGCCGUAAGGCGUCGGAGGAGGAGCCCGCGCCCGAUUAGCUAGUUGGUGAGGUAAUGGCUCACCAAGGCAAUGAUCGGUAGCUGGUCUGAGAGGAUGGCCAGCCACACUGGAACUGAGACACGGUCCAGACUCCUACGGGAGGCAGCAGUGGGGAAUCUUGCGCAAUGGGCGAAAGCCUGACGCAGCGACGCCGCGUGGGGGAUAAAGCUUCUCGGAGUGUAAACCCCUUUCGACUGGGACGAAUGCCUCGCAAGAGGAGUGACGGUACCAGUAGAAGAAGCCCCGGCUAACUACGUGCCAGCAGCCGCGGUAAGACG